UUUCAUAUAUCUAAUGAAAAAUGCAACGAAAAUAUUUUAACGACACAAAUUAACAAUAAAAAUCGUAACACGUGUGUAAGACAUAUUUGUCAAAAUAGUAAUAAUCUGAGUGUAGGUAAUUAUUUGACAAUUAUUGGCGCUCUCAACGUGUAUUGAUCGUUCUCACGGACGAUGACGUCAUGCUAGACAGGAUUGUAUCUAAAGAACAAGAAGCCCCAUUUCGAAUAAUACGUGAAGAAAAGUCCUUCGUUAAUUGGACGUUACGAGUAUUUGGAUUUCAUCGUAUCAUCGAAAUUGGUUUACUAAUUAGAUUAUUCAAUAUAGACUUGUAUCGAUAAUAGACUCAACAAUUCCACGAUGCAUAGUAAUUGUUGGUAAUGUUUAAUGAGAGAUAUUGCGACGUUCGAUUAUAGAAAAUAAAUAUUAUCUUAGUAAUAGCAGUGAAACGAUCGAAAGGCACGUUACGUUGGAGCUCUUUUAGAAAACAAUUAAAUGGUAUCAAAUUUACGAAACGUUUAUGGAACGCUUUAAAAUAGUUCAGUCUACUGUAUUUAAAAAUGAUUUUAACAAUUUGCAUGGAUAUCCAUAGUUACCAAAUUUAUGAAAACACGUUUUGUCAAAAAUAAAAAUGAUUGACUUUAGAUUUUAUGACAUUAAAGUAUAAUAUUUAUUGAGAUAGAAUAUGAAUAAAGUAAACCUUUAGAAUCAAUAGAUUAGGAGAUUGGUAAGUAUGCGUGUUAACAGCCUAUGAUGUUACUUUGCGCAAUAAAGUUUCUAUUUUAUAUGAAAUUUGAGUGGAACGCGAUUCUGAAACACAUAAGUUUGACAUUUUUAUGUAGCAGUCGCUUCAUAAACGAUGAAAUCAUCACAGCAUAUACGCCCUUUUGGAGGUUACGGAUUCUGACAGUGAUGGAAAUGAUAUGACCUUUAUGUAAAAUAAAUUUGCAAGAUUGUUUCAAUAUUACAAUA